UAAGAUGUAGCAGCCACAGACAUUCACUUACAGAAAACAAGAUCUCCCCCCCCCCGAGAGAGAGAGAGAGAGAGAGAGAGAGAGAGAGAGAGAGAGAAAGCAGUGGCAGAAGAGCUUCAGCAAAGUGAUGAGUGCUCGACCCAACCUUCCUCAUAAAGGAGGACGACUUUUUCUGGAUGCUUCUUUCAUAUCCAAGUAGAACAUCAAAGAACACGUCCCUAUAAUAUGUUCUUCCGGCAGUGGGUACUACAGUAGCUGUGUUCAUCAUCUCUGCUAUCAGACUGCACUAGUUUCACAGUGAUUCAGACGUCAGACGUAUCAUGAACACAAACCCUACUGAGCAAACUCUUGCACCCAAUUUCAGUAAUUACACUGUUGAGGAAGA